rnacentral:rRNA from 1 species
AACUUUGAGAAAAAAAGAUAUGUAAAAAUUAAUUUUUAAUUUUUUCAAAAAAAAGACCCGAAACCACGCCGAAUUCGAGUUGUCUAAAAAUAUCUAACUCCGUGUACUAAUCACAUUGGGAGACGUAGUCUUUUUCAAAGUU